rnacentral:rRNA from 1 species
UACAGAGGUCCCAAGCGUUGUUCGGAUUCAUUGGGCGUAAAGGGUGCGUAGGCGGCGCGGUAAGUCGGGGGUGAAAUCUCGGAGCUUAACUCCGAAACUGCAUUCGAUACUGCCGUGCUUGAGGACUGGAGAGGAGACUGGAAUUUACGGUGUAGCGGUGAAAUGCGUAGAUAUCUGGAGGAACACCGGUGGCGAAGGCGGCGUCCUGGACCAACACUGACACUGAGGAGCGAAAGCCAGGGGAGCAAACGGG